GCACAACGCGAAGAACCUUACCCACCUUUGACAUGUACGGAAUCCUUUAGAGAUAGAGGAGUGCUCGAAAGAGAACCGUAACACAGGUGCUGCAUGGCUGUCGUCAGCUCGUGUCGUGAGAUGUUGGGUUAAGUCCCGCAACGAGCGCAACCCUUGCCAUUAGUUGCUACAUUUAGUUGAGCACUCUAAUGGGACUGCCGGUGACAAACCGGAGGAAGGUGGGGAUGACGUCAAGUCCUCAUGGCCCUUAUAGGUGGGGCUACACACGUCAUACAAUGGCUGGUACAGAGGGUUGCCAACCCGCGAGGGGGAGCUAAUCCCAUAAAGCCAGUCGUAGUCCGGAUCGCAGUCUGCAACUCGACUGCGUGAAGUCGGAAUCGCUAGUAAUCGCGGAUCAGAAUGUCGCGGUGAAUACGUUCCCGGGUCUUGUACACACCG
rnacentral:rRNA from 1 species